GGAGUUGUGGCUCAGUGGUAGAGUGCUUGCCUAGCAUGCAUGAGGCACUGGGUUCAAUCCUCAGCACCA
rnacentral:tRNA from 1 species